UACGGAGGGUGCGAGCGUUGUCCGGAAUCACUGGGCGUAAAGGGCGCGUAGGCGGCCUGAUAAGUAGGGGGUGAAAUCCUGCGGCUUAACCGCAGGGCUGCCUUCUAAACUGUCAGGCUUGAGCACAGUAGAGGCAGGUGGAAUUCCCGGUGUAGCGGUGGAAUGCGUAGAGAUUGGGAAGAACACCAGUGGCGAAGGCGGCUAUCUGGACGGUUUCUGACGCUAAGACGCGAAAGCGUGGGGAGCAAACAGG
rnacentral:rRNA from 1 species